AUGCCCACCGCCAAAUUAUUCAUCUCUCUCCUCUGUUUCUCUCUCCUCACUCUCUCCGUCACCGCCCGCCCCUACGUCCUCGUCCUCUCCCAAGAAGACUUCAAAGACGAACCCCCUUCCGAUCCCGAUUCCUCCCCCGAGUGGGACGAGUUCGGCGACUCCGACUCUCACAAAUCCGAAGAGGAUCUCGACCCUGGAUCAUGGCGCUAA